CUUGCUUGCACGGGCGGCAAUCUCUUUCACAGUGCCUUACAUACGUUCUAUCUAUAUUUAUCGAGGUUAAUCAAUGCACGAGGUCACCAAGUGAGUAUGACGUCUUGCAUUCGUUUUCCCAGUCAAUUGACACUGAGUAUAUGGUAAAGAUUUAAUUAUAUUAGUACUUAUAACUAUCGAUAUUGUGUGCGUCUAAUCUCCCGCGGUUUGCACGGGCGAUCGUUAGGGGUUAGACCACAUAAAUUGUGGGGCAUAUCAGGUGACCGCAAACAGUUUGCACGGGCGAUUGUUUGUGAAAGGUUUUUUAUUUCUUUUACUCGAACAAGUUGAAGUAAGGCCUCGAUGCUUAGAGUUAACAAACCAUUUGCAAGGGCGGUGGUUUAUCGUUUUUCUAUUUUCCGGCGUUACACAUGGAUGUUGCAUUUUCCUUGGGUGGGGUGCAUCGUCGCUGCGCGAAGAUGCUUUGGCGUAAUUUUUGCUCUCACCUUACUGGGCAAAACAAUGUUGAUACAUAUGUAAAAGUUAUAGUUAAUUAUUUCUGUCAAAGUUAAUAAAUAGUAAGUAAUUUCAAGAAUAAAAUGGCUAGGGGUAAUUGUAACCCCUAGCUCAAAAUAUCCCAAACUCGCGUUUGGCUCUUUCAAUUUUAAUUAAUACGGC